ACAUUUCCUCAUCUAUUAUAAUCGCCCAUCUAUUUUUCCUUAACAAGUCAUGUAGAGGGAGAGAGAUUUGAGUGAGUUCUCACCAUUUUUUUUCAUCUUCCAAUUCUCAAAAAAGUUAAAAAGGGUGGUGAAUCUUCUAAAGGGUAAAGGCAAAGUGGUGGAGAGCUAGGCAAGUCACUUUGUUGGUGUUCUUCCAUCAAUGUGGUACCCUCUAACUCUCUUAUACUUCUUAAUAAGUCAUAAAUAUGAUGCUUGUAUGAUAAUGCAUGCAUGUUAUAUGUCUUUGGGUGAUUUAAAUUGAAGCUAAAAACUUAGUUGUGAAAUCUGCUAGAAACAGAUUAUUACAUGAAUAGUAAGUUUUAAAAUUUACCAUAAAUUUUGUAAAAAUAAUUAAGAAGUGAUCUAUAUAUUAUUGUAAUCGUGAGUCAGUCUAGUUUCAUUUAGAACAAAUAGAAAUCAAUUUCGUUUUGUAUUUUAAAAUAUAUGAAUUUUUGAGUGUUGAAAGGUCAUAAAAA